rnacentral:rRNA from 1 species
GACGAACGCUGGCGGCGUGCUUAACACAUGCAAGUCGAACGGAAAGGCCCUGCUUUUGUGGGGUGCUCGUGUGGCGAACGGGUGAGUAACACGUGUGUAACCUGCCCUUGACUUUGGGUUAACUUCUGGAAACUGGGGCUCUUACCGCAUAGGAUCUCCUGCUCCUUGGUGGUGGUUGGUAAGUUUCGGCGGUUGGGGAUGGUCUCGCGGGUUAUCAGCUUGUUGGGGGGGUUGUGGCUUACCAAGCGUUUGACGGAUAGCCGACAUGAGAGGGUGAACGGACACAUUGGGACUGAGAGACGGACCAGACUCCUACGGGAGGCAGCAGUGGGGAAUAUUGCAGAAUGGGCGGAAGCGAGAUGCAGCAACGCCGCGUGCGGGAUGACGGCCUUCGGGGUGAAAACAGCUUUCGACGGUGACGAAGAGGGAGUGACGGUAAUGGGUAAAGAAGCACCGGCUAACUACGUG